rnacentral:rRNA from 1 species
AUGCUAGUUUGUUGGCUAAUCUGGAACGAAAGAAAUGCGAGAGUUUUUGAAAACAAGGCAUCUCUGCCGACCCAUGUGGUUGCGUCGAUCAAGGUUGAGGCGAAGAUUUGGGUCAUUGCUGGGGCUAAAUAUUUGAGAAAUUUAAUUCCGGGAGAGUGA